UUGAACUGAAGAGUUUGAUCCUGGCUCAGAUUGAACGCUGGCGGCAUGCCUUACACAUGCAAGUCGAACGGCAGCACGGGUGCUUGCACCUGGUGGCGAGUGGCGAACGGGUGAGUAAUACAUCGGAACAUGUCCUGUAGUGGGGGAUAGCCCGGCGAAAGCCGGAUUAAUACCGCAUACGAUCCACGGAUGAAAGCGGGGGACCUUCGGGCCUCGCGCUAUAGGGUUGGCCGAUGGCUGAUUAGCUAGUUGGUGGGGUAAAGGCCUACCAAGGCGACGAU
rnacentral:rRNA from 1 species